rnacentral:rRNA from 1 species
GACGAGCGCUGGCGGCGUGCUUAACACAUGCAAGUCGAACGGAAAGGCCCUGCUUUUGUGGGGUGCUCGAGUGGCGAACGGGUGAGUAACACGUGAGUAACCUGCCCUUGACUUUGGGAUAACUUCAGGAAACUGGGGCUAAUACCGGAUAGGAGCUCCUGCUGCAUGGUGGGGGUUGGAAAGUUUCGGCGGUUGGGGAUGGACUCGCGGCUUAUCAGCUUGUUGGUGGGGUAGUGGCUUACCAAGGCUUUGACGGGUAGCCGGGCUGAGAGGGUGACCGGACCAAAUGGGAAGGGAAUAAGGCACCGAACACUAACGGAAGGGAGAGUGGGGAAUAUUGCACAAUGGGCGGAAGCAUGAUGCAGCAACGCAGCGUGCGGGAUGACGGCCUUCGGGUUGUAAACCGCUUUCGCCUGUGACGAAGCGUGAGUGACGGUAAUGGGUAAAGAAGCACCGGCUAACUACGUG